GGAAAAGACAAGAGAGGCUUUGGCUGGCUUGGGAUCCAGCAAACAGCUGCUGAUUAGAGGCUGCGUCUUCAGGCUGAAUUUAUUACAUAUUUUUCGGCAGCAGGGAUUCGAGGAGGAAGCUUCCGUUUGGGUUUCUUGCUCGUGGUUUAUUUUUAUUCCGAGGAAUAACAGAGGAAGGAUUUGUUCCGGCUGGAGCAUGCUCACAACCUGCAAGAUCUCCCAUUAUUAAACUGCCUACUUUGGGCUUUAAUAUACAUGUGGUUUAUUUUUUUGUUGGUUUUAUUAGCAUUAUUAUUAUUUGGCAGCGUGCGUCUCUAUUUUUUUUUUCAUUUAAUAAUUCAUUUUGAAAGGAAGCUGAUCUCGUCAUGAGCUUUCUCCUUCCUUACUCGAAACAGGUGCUAAUGAAAGAAUGCAAAUAGCACCGGCUGAGCCGAACAUUUCAUAAAGAAGGGAACAGCCACCGACCCCAAACGCUCCGGGAUCUCCUGCCAGCACCCAGCAAAGGCGCCCUUUCCCAGGUCACUGUAUGAGCACCUGAGUCUCCUCCAAGCAUCCCAGCGAUGAACCUGUAGCGGCUCGUCCCCAGCCCGGCAGAAGAUCCCCCUGGAGCCCAGGGUCCCAGCCUGGCAGAGCCAUGGGCGAGCGGCAGCAUCCCUGCGGGGGGCGAGUGCAGACCAUUUCUACAAUUUAUCAAGAUCAUUUUGAAUCCUAAUCCUGGCCUCCGAAGUACUUGCAGCCCUUCCCAGCCUGGUAUCAGCAGCAAUUUUAGUAAGCAUUCUAUGUUCCAUCAUUCAAAUCAAUUAUCACGAUACUGAAUUGUGCCAGAGCUUGGACGCCUUGGACGUCCACUCAAUCCGUGCUUCCCUUUGGCGGUGUGCGCAUCCUGCAGUGCUGCGUUCGCCUAGUGAAAGGUGUCAAAGGUGAUGUAAAUUCCGUGGGAUGAUGAGAUUUGUAUCCUAAAGGAAGAGAUUUCAUCAGCCCCUUUGAAGGUUUGUAAUGUGAAAUAAGUUUAUUUAC